rnacentral:rRNA from 1 species
UAAGCGUAGACGGUGGAUGCCUUGGCAGUCAGAGGCGAUGAAGGACGUACUAACCUGCGAAAAGCGAUGGUGAGCUGGUAAGAAGCAUUUGAGCCAUCGAUGUCCGAAUGGGGAAACCCACCUGCAUAAGCAGGUAUCUUAGCGUGAAUACAUAGCGCUAAGAGGCGAACUCGGGGAACUGAAACAUCUAAGUACCCGAAGGAAAAGAAAUCAAUUGAGAUUCCGGCAGUAGCGGCGAGCGACCCCGGAGCAGCCCUUAAGCGGCUUAGGCGUUAGGUGAACAGGUUGGAAAACCUGGCAAUAAAGGGUGAUAGCCCCGUAACCGACGGCGCCUUAGGCGUGAAAACGAGUAAGACGGGACACGUGAUAUCUUGUCUGAA